GACGAACGCUGGCGGCGUGCUUAACACAUGCAAGUCGAACGGAAAGGCCCUGCUUUUGUGGGGUGCUCGAGUGGCGAACGGGUGAGUAACACGUGAGUAACCUGCCCUUGACUUUGGGAUAACUUCAGGAAACUGGGGCUAAUACCGGAUAGGAGCUCCUGCUGCAUGGUGGGGGUUGGAAAGUUUCGGCGGUUGGGGAUGGACUCGCGGCUUAUCAGCUUGUUGGUGGGGUAGUGGCUUACCAAGGCUUUGACGGGUAGCCGGCCUGAGAGGGUGACCGGCCACAUUGGGACUACGAUACGGCCCAGACUCCUACGGGAGGCAGCAGUGGGGAGUAUUGCACAAUGGGCGGAAGCCUGAUGCAGCAACGCCGCGUGCGGGAUGACGGCCUUCGGGUUGUAAACCGCUUUCGCCUGUGACGAAGCGUGAGUGACGGUAAUGGGUAAAGAAGCACCGGCUAACUACGUG
rnacentral:rRNA from 1 species